rnacentral:rRNA from 1 species
ACACAUGCAAGUCGAGGGGCAGCGGGAUUGAAGCUUGCUUCAAUUGCCGGCGACCGGCGCACGGGUGAGUAACGCGUAUCCAACCUUCCGUACACUCAGGGAUAGCCUUUCGAAAGAAAGAUUAAUACCUGAUGGUAUGAUGAGAUUGCAUGAUAGCAUCAUUAAAGAUUUAUCGGUGUACGAUGGGGAUGCGUUCCAUUAGGUAGUAGGCGGGGUAACGGCCCACCUAGCCAACGAUGGAUAGGGGUUCUGAGAGGAAGGUCCCCCACAUUGGAACUGAGACACGGUCCAAACUCCUACGGGAGGCAGCAGUGAGGAAUAUUGGUCAAUGGACGAGAGUCUGAACCAGCCAAGUAGCGUGAAGGAUGAAGGUCUUACGGAUUGUAAACUUCUUUUAUAAGGGAAUAAAACCUCCCACGUGUGGGAGCUUGUAUGUACCUUAUGAAUAAGCAUCGGCUAACUCCGUGCCAGCAGCCGCGGUAAUACGGAGGAUGCGAGCGUUAUCCGGAUUUAUUGGGUUUAAAGGGAGCGCAGACGGGUCGUUAAGUCAGCUGUGAAAGUUUGGGGCUCAACCUUAAAAUUGCAGUUGAUACUGGCGUCCUUGAGUGCGGUUGAGGUGUGCGGAAUUCGUGGUGUAGCGGUGAAAUGCUUAGAUAUCACGAAGAACUCCGAUUGCGAAGGCAGCACACUAAGCCGUAACUGACGUUCAUGCUCGAAAGUGUGGGUAUCAAACAGGAUUAGAUACCCUGGUAGUCCACACGGUAAACGAUGGAUACUCGCUGUUGGCGAUAUACGGUCAGCGGCUUAGCGAAAGCGUUAAGUAUCCCACCUGGGGAGUACGCCGGCA